UACGUAGGGGGCAAGCGUUGUCCGGAAUCAUUGGGCGUAAAGAGCGCGUAGGCGGCCCUGUAAGUCCGCUGUGAAAGUCAAGGGCUCAACCCUUGAAUGCCGGUGGAUACUGCAGGGCUAGAGUCCGGAAGAGGCGAGUGGAAUUCCUGGUGUAGCGGUGAAAUGCGUAGAUAUCUGGAGGAACACCGGUGGCGAAGGCGGCAUCCUGGACCGAGGAUUGACGCUGAUGCGCGAAAGCCAGGGGAGCAAACGGG
rnacentral:rRNA from 1 species